UGAGGAAGUAAAAGUCGUAACAAGGUCUCCGUAGGUGAACCUGCGGAGGGAUCAUUACUGAGAGAGGGCCUCCGGGUCCGACCUCCAACCCUUUGUGAACCAACCUCGUUGCUUUGGGGGCGACCCUGCCGUCCGCGGCGGCGGCGCCCCCGGAGGCCAUCAAACACUGCGUAACUUUGCGUCGGAGUCUUGAUUAAAUCAAACAAAACUUUCAACAACGGAUCUCUUGGUUCUGGCAUCGAUGAAGAACGCAGCGAAAUGCGAUAAGUAAUGUGAAUUGCAGAAUUCAGUGAAUCAUCGAAUCUUUGAACGCACAUUGCGCCCCUUGGUAUUCCGAGGGGCAUGCCUGUUCGAGCGUCAUUUCACCACUCAAGCCUGGCUUGGUAUUGGGCGUCGCGGGCCCCCCGCGCGCCUCAAAGUCUCUCCGGCUGAGCGGCUCGUCUCUAAGCGUUGUGGCAACUAUUCGCGGUGAGAUCGGGCGGCGACGGCCGUUAAAUCUUUAUUUACAGGUUGACCUCGGAUCAGGUAGGGAUACCCGCUGAACUUAAGCAU
rnacentral:rRNA from 1 species